rnacentral:rRNA from 1 species
GACGAACGCUGGCGGCGUGCUUAACACAUGCAAGUCGAACGGAAAGGCCCUGCUUGCAGGGUACUCGAGUGGCGAACGGGUGAGUAACACGUGGGUGAUCUGCCCUGCACUUCGGGAUAAGCCUGGGAAACUGGGUCUAAUACCGGAUAGGAGCCAUUUUUAGUGUGAUGGUUGGAAAGUUUUUUCGGUGUAGGAUGAGCUCGCGGCCUAUCAGCUUGUUGGUGGGGUAAUGGCCUACCAAGGCGGCGACGGGUAGCCAGCCUGAGAGGGUGGACGGCCACAUUGGGACUGAGAUACGGCCCAGACUCCUACGGGAGGCAGCAGGGGGGAAUAUUGCACAAUGGGCGCAAGCCUGAUGCAGCGACGCCGCGUGGGGGAUGACGGCCUUCGGGUUGUAAACUCCUUUCGCUAGGGACGAAGCUUUUUGUGACGGUACCUAGAUAAGAAGCACCGGCUAACUACGUG